rnacentral:rRNA from 1 species
UGCUGCAUGGCUGUCGUCAGCUCGUGUCGUGAGAUGUUGGGUUAAGUCCCGCAACGAGCGCAACCCUUGUCCUUAGUUGCUACGCAAGAGCACUCUAAGGAGACUGCCGGUGACAAACCGGAGGAAGGUGGGGAUGACGUCAAAUCAUCAUGCCCCUUAUGACCUGGGCUACACACGUGCUACAAUGGGAAGUACAACGAGUCGCUAGACCGCGAGGUCAUGCAAAUCUCUUAAAGCUUCUCUCAGUUCGGAUU